CAGCCGCCGCGGUAAUACGUAGGUGGCAAGCGUUGUCCGGAAUUAUUGGGCGUAAAGCGCGCGCAGGUGGUUUAAUAAGUCUGAUGUGAAAGCCCACGGCUCAACCGUGGAGGGUCAUUGGAAACUGUUAAACUUGAGUGCAGGAGAGAAAAGUGGAAUUCCUAGUGUAGCGGUGAAAUGCGUAGAGAUUAGGAGGAACACCAGUGGCGAAGGCGGCUUUUUGGCCUGUAACUGACACUGAGGCGCGAAAGCGUGGGGAGCAAACAGGAUUAGAUACCCCAGUAGUCCCUGUCUCUUAUAC
rnacentral:rRNA from 1 species